AGGGCUUGACAUGUAACUGCUCAUCCUGUGAAAGCAGGACUCUUUCGAAGGUGUUACACAGGUGCUGCAUGGCUGUCGUCAGUUCGUGCCGUGAGGUGUUGGGUUAAGUCCCGCAACGAACGCAACCCCUGUGGUUAGUUGCCACCGCCGGUGAUGAGCCGGCGAGCACUCUAACCAGACUGCCCGUACAAGCGGGAGGAAGGUGGGGACGACGUCAAGUCAGUAUGGCCCUUACGCCCUGGGCUGCACACGUGCUACAAUGGUAGGUAUAAUAGGAUGCAAUAUCGCGAGAUGGAGCAAAUCCCCAAAACCUGCCCCAGUUCGGAUUGGAGUCUGCAACUCGACUCCAUGAAGU
rnacentral:rRNA from 1 species